ACUUCAAGAUGUUGGGAGGUGACUCUCUCCAAGUGAUUCAAGCUAGCUCACAAGAAACAUUGGAUUAUUUAUCUUAUGGCCACAUUAUUGAGGAUAUUCGAACCCAAGUUGCUGCAGUUUCUUCUUAUGAAUUUAUCUUUAAUACUAGGCACUGCAACGUUGUAGCAGAUGCUCUAGCCAAAAAAGCCAAGUUUUCUAGGGAGUCUCGGGUUUGGACUGUUUCCCUUCCUAAUGACAUUGUCCCUCUUGUAGCUUUUGACAUUCAUUGAGGUUUUGUUUUUCUGAAUAAAAGCCCAGGCUACUUACAGUCUGGUUUCUCAAAAAAAAAAAAAAAAAAAAAAAAAAAAAUUUCACUGCGUUAAACACAGUUUGGAGCCCUCUUGGUAUAAAAGAAAACUAACCGCUUAAAAAAAGAAAAGAAAAGAAAGAUUGCUACGCAGAGAAAGGAGAAAGAGAGACCGAGAGAAAAGAGAGACAGAGAAAUAGAGAGGCAGAGAACGGAGAAGGAGAGAGAGAUCGAGAGAUCAAAAACUGCAGUUUGCAAUCAAGAAUGAAAAGAUGUCUCUCACUUCCUGUCAGAUUUCUUCAUCUAACUGUCCGCUAAUUUCUUUCCCCGGAAUAAGAAGAAGUAAGGAUGAUGAAGCGUCAAGAACGAAGAGGAGUCUACCCCGCCCAUUACGACAUGCUUCUGAUGGAUCCAGAGAAAAGAGUGAAAUAGAGAGACAGAGAUAGAGAGAAGGGCGCCACCCAGAUCUUCUGCCAUCACCGUAAGCCUCCACUCACUACCCGACUAUCAGAAUCGCUACUGAAAUAGAGAGAGGCGAUGAAACAGAGAGAGGCCGAGAAAGAGAGGAGAUGAAAUAGAGAGAGGAUGAGGCCUGGGACACGGAGAAAGAAACGGAGAAAGAGGCAAAACGUUAAUCUAGGUAUAUUAGAUCGUGCUCCGCUUAUUUAUUUGGGUGAGUUGAAGCAUCCUUUCCAAGUUUGACUAAAUGGUUGGUUGUCUUUGCAAAAUAAUGGUUUCUUUUUCAAAGCCAUUGGAACCAUGCAGAUUAGUCUUGAACCACUUUGGUUGACCAGGAAGGGGAUGAAAUCUUGAAUCAGAAUUUGGUUUAUUGUCCAGAUGAUGGCACUUACACUAUGAAAAAAGUUCGGAUUCAGAAUACUGAACAGUUGGAGUUGGUGAGUGAGGAGAUCCGUGUUUUCUCACUAUUCAGUCAUCCCAAUUUGCUUCCACUUCUUGAUCAUGCUAUCAUUUCUGUUAAGGUAAUCAGUCAGAGUGGUUAUUUCUAUCUAAUUUACAAUUAUUAUUCAUAUAUUUUUCUUAAUAUAAAACUUGACACUUCCAGAAUUGUUACAUGACUGUUGCCUUGGUUGGACUACUUUAGUAUUGAAUUGAUGGUAUCAAACCAUAGUUUUGGCUUUGACUUUGGUCACUAACCCACAAGAAGUUGAAACAUUUCAUUUAAACACAAGGAAAUGUGGUAAACACACUGGCAGUUAUUAUUGUUGGGGUUGCAAUGUUGCAUACCUUGAAGUAUUUCCCUCUAAUAUUUCCAAUAAACUCUACUUCCUCAUUUAUUACUUCAACUCUCUAUUAAUUCUGUUCAGGUGUCCUACGUAUUAUAUACUGUCCAUCCACUCACAAGACUUCUCAUCUCCUUAUCAAAACACAAAAUGGUUAACAAUUCUCCCUUUAUUUACUUUCCCAUUAAAUCACAUUCAUCAUUUUGGCCCUCCUUUAACUCUUAUCUUUUUGGGCUCUUCCUCUCCUUAUCAAAAUCUUCAAUGCCUGCCCCUUUGGAAUUAAAAACCCAUUCAUUUGUUUUUUUUAUUUAUAUAUAGAUUUCCAAUUCUCUCUCCAUCCCUGCAGAAGUCGCCAAAGUACAUGCAGAGUUGAAAAGUCCCUUUGAGGUGGGUUUUGCCUUUCUGUUUUCCCCUCCAUCUUCAUUGGUUUGUUUGGUACAAAUUGCAUUUCCUCCCAUUAUGCAGAAGAUUAAAUGUUUGAUUUUAACAUUAUAAAAAAACUCUAAUUGCUCGCUUCUUGACAAAGGAAAAUGUUGCGGUAAUUGUGUAAAGCGUUUGUAGGUGUCUUUUUGUGUAAUGGGUUUUUCAAAAAUAUAUUUUAUUGUUUUACAAGCGGCAUGAUAUAUUAUUGUUCAAUUCCUGAUUCAUUUGGAAUAUUAAAAAAUUUGAUAAAAAUAACAUAGAUAGAUAAAAUAGGAAAGCAACUAGACCAUGUUGAUUUAUUUUAUAAAAUGUCAAUGUUUAUGCAUAUUUCUUUUGUGUGUCUCUUUAUAUUCAAUUAUAUAAACAUUUUAAAUGUUCUAAAAAACUCUUUAAAUUGAUUAGAAUGGAGAAGAUUAAUACAUGAAGCUCAAGAAGUAUUACCAAGAUAAUAGGGACGAUCUUUAGCGUUAGCAAAUCAGUCAAUACUGCGUUACUCUUGGGGUAUGACUCAGAAAAAUGGUAUAUGCAUAUAACUCUUUUUUUUCUUUUUUGUAGGAAUUUUGAUGUGAAGUAAGGAAUAAGUUUUUCAUGGCCAUACUUCUUACUUGGAUGUUUUUUGAUGACUCUUUGUAAUGUACACAUUUUGAUUACUUAAAAUUUUUCUUAUAGAUGUUGAAUUGGAUCUGUAGUUAAUUUUUUUGUUUAGGCUUGGUGCAUCACAAAGAGGUCCCCUCUUCUCAACAAUGUCCAACUCUCUAUUCACAAUCAAUGUUUAAAUGUUGUGCUUUGGGUGAAAGCCAAAUACCUUGAAGAGGUAGGCAGUUCCAAAGCUACUAAAUGAAUCUUCAGAGAACAAGAGUAGUAAAGUUGCUUUGGAAGAACCAUGAUUUUCUUAAAAUCAAUCAAUGUCCAUGUAACUAAAUUUCAAUAAGCAAUGAGUAAAAUGUAUAAAUUUUUUUGCU